CUUCCACCAUUUUUGGCUACACUCCACCUCCCUUUAGCCGUGGACAGAGUUGACCAUUCCCAUUUCUGUGCAAAGCUUGUUCGUUUCCGCACCCUCCUCGUCCUUUUCCCCUUCUCCUCUCUCUCUCUUCAACAACGCGAACAACAAAAUCACAGAGCUCUUUCGAUCUCCCAGGCCGUGCAUGGACAUUUCGGGGAAAGGCAAUUAAUGCUCGUCCUUUCCCCGUCAGUGUUCAACCAUUUGUAAGUCGUCGUCUUCUUCCUUUUCUGUUUUGGAUCUGAAACAUUUUAACGGAUUUCGUUCGUUUGUGAAAUUAAAAUCUUUUUCUUAUCAGUUCUUUUUCAUUUUCGGGUACAAAAUUUUAAUGGUUUUUGUCUCUUCUCUCCUUUCUGGUCGGGUGGGUGAAAGACCACAAAAAAUCCGAACGUUUGAACCUUAAAUCCCGCCCAGUUUUGAACCCUAGAUGUUUCCCUAUAAAUAAUCCUUUUCUUGAGUCAUUGAAAAGAAGUAUGGAGCCGCCCAAAUUUCCCCUAGAAGAUAUUAGUUUCAGUAGUUACAAUAUUUCUUGAUAUCGAUUCUAAAAAAAUACUAAAUCAUUUUCUGUUUUCUUUUGCCCUGGUAUUGCUUCGAAUCCGAGUGCAUGCAAGCUCAGAUUCGGUAGUGUGCAAGUAUAUAUCAAGACCCCCCGCACCCUGUUCGCUGCACCCGAAGAAGUCACCACUAUCAGCCGUGUAAAAAAAGAAUUCUGGGCCGAAGCCCAAUUGCAGACAGAUCGCAGCAGCCCUAAAAAAUGGGCUGAGCCCAUUUAAUUAUAUUUGCUCCUCUACUUUAUUUUGUGCAUUUAAUUUGUAUUAUAUGACCAACACUUUACUUUGUUUUGUUUUCUUAGCUUAGAUGAACCUUAGCGGAAUUACUGGGGUAAGUUUUAGCAUAAUGGGUAGUUAAUUUAAAGGAGGAACCAACAGUUAAUUCCAUAGUUUUCAUUUUUUUUUAUUAUAGUAUCUAUAACAUUUAUUUUUACUAGAACAAUUGAUUUUCAAUAGCGUGAAUACAUAUUUUGAGUUAAGGGAA